AGGGAUGGGCGGGAAGGGACCAUGGGGAGCCACAAGUCUGCACCCAGGCGGGGAGUGGGCGAGCGAGAGCCGCUCCGCAGGCGCAGGCUUGAACCCAGAGCUUUGCCUGUGCUAGGCAAGAGAGGACAAUGCUCUCAGUCUUCCCCCUGAGGAUACAUUGCAAGAACUCCAGCGUGCACAGAAAGAGAACCAAGAGUGGAACUGGUAUGUGCAGUGCCUGCGGGGGCCAGAAGAAGGCAUCAGACCUAAGAGGGACAGUUUUAAGUUGGAGCGUCUGAGAAGAUGGCAGAACUUACUUCAAGGGCUGCAGGAUGGUGGCUCACACCUACUAUCCUACCACCUAGGGGGAGCCGAUGGAGGAGAAUCGGGAGUUCAAGGUCAUCCUGGACUACAUAGCAAAUUUGAGGUCAGCCUGGACGGCCGAAGGUCCUGGAUUCAACUCUCAGCAUUGCAAAAAUAAUAAAGAUCUUAUACCCG
rnacentral:lncRNA from 1 species